CUAAAUUACACCAAAUUCCGCAUUGCUGCACUGCACCGCUAGACAAUUUGUCAACAAGUGAAAUUUAUGGCCAGUCGCUCAGGUUUGCUGUUUGCCCGCGCGAACAUUCUUCAACUGGGCGACCAGACCUGUAUAUGGGUAUGGCUAAAUAAAUAUGGGAACAAGUUUUUCAAAUAUUCCAAUGCCGAGUUGUUGUGUAGCGACCAAGCCUGGUACAUAGCGCCUAACUGUUUGGUCUUCAUUUGAGAUCGGAAAGACUAUACAUGUGAUGAUAGGCAUGCACCACUCUGAAAUUCUUUGUAGUUAAACAAGCCACUAGUCUGACGUUCCUGUGAUUUUAAGUUUCUUGACAAUAAUUUUAGAACAAAUGUUUACGUGGAUUUUCCUUUCAGGGAGAGAGAAGAGUGUCAGUGUCUCAACAAAAAUGAUGUACAAGUUUGAACGAUUAAAGUGUACACUCGAAGAUUGCAACAAGAACAGAGGUAGGCGUUCUGAACUAUGCUUCACCAGAUUUAAACCCUAUGGACUUUUUUUAUGGGGUUAUAUAAAUAGGGGGUACUUUCAGUAGUGACGAACCACACAGCGAAACAUCAAUUAUUAGGGGUGGUUCGUCGCAUUUUUUUCUUAGGUGCCCCCGCAAUGAGUUUACAGCAGCAUCUGCGGUGCCCAGAUUUAAAUCCAUGUGAGAUCCUUAUUUGGGCAGAAAGGAAACUAAAAAUGAAGCUUCUUCCUUUGUUGAGCUGAUUUUAAUAAAAAAAAUAUUUCUAAAAAUAAAUAAAACAAAAAAAAUAUUGUUCUAUUUUUUUAAAUUAAAUCCAAUUGAGUUUUAUUUUAUAGGUUCAGUUCUACUUAUAAUGUUUCAAUAAAUGUUUUUUUUUUA